UAUUUGGUGUUCUAGGCGUAUAGGAAUUACGUCAAAAACAUACUGAACUUGACAGUUAAAUUAUAUAGCGAUGACAAUACUAAAAGGGAAGCCUUUAGGGAAAAUAGUUAAAUGCCAUUUA
rnacentral:rRNA from 1 species